UUCCGGUUGAUCCUGCCAGACCUGACUGCUAUCGGAUUGAUACUAAGCCAUGCGAGUCUUUGCAGUAAUGCAAGGCGGACUGCUCAGUAACACGUAGUCAACUUAACCUAUGGAUGGGUAUAACCUCGGGAAACUGAGAAUAAUUCCCAAUAGAUCAUUUAUCCUGGAAUGGUUAGUGAUUGAAAUGAUUCGUCGCCAUAGGAUAGGACUGCGGCCUAUCAGCUUGUUGGUGAGGUAAAGGCCCACCAAGGCUAUUACAGGUACGGGCUCUGAGAGAAGAAGCCCGGAGAUGGGUACUGAGACACGGACCCAGGCCCUAUGGGGCGCAGCAGGCGAGAAAACUUUGCAAUGUGCGAAAGCACGACAAGGUUAAUCCGAGUGAUUUCUGCUAAAGAAAUCUUUUGCCAGUUCUAAAAAUACUGGUGAAUAAGGGGUGGGCAAGUUCUGGUGCCAGCAGCCGCGGUAAU
rnacentral:rRNA from 1 species